UACAGUCAUAUCACAUUGAAACACCAGUCUUCGUACGAUCACCGAAAUUAAGCAACAUCGAACCUGGUCAAUACCGAGAUGGGUGACCGCUUGGGAAUAGAUGUG